rnacentral:rRNA from 1 species
AUUGAACGCUGGCGGCAGGCCUAACACAUGCAAGUCGAGCGGAUGAGUGGAGCUUGCUCCAUGAUUCAGCGGCGGACGGGUGAGUGAUGCCUAGGAAUCUGACUGGUAGUGGGGGACAACGUUUCGAAAGGAUCGCUAAUACCGCAUACGUCCUACCGGAGAAAGUGGGGGAUCUUCGGACCUCACGCUAUCAGAUGAGCCUAGGUCGGAUUAGCUAGUUGGUGAGGGAAAGGCUCACCAAGGCGACGAUCCGUAACUGGUCUGAGAGGAUGAUCAGUCACACGGGAACGGAGACACGGUCCAGACUCCUACGGGAGGCAGCAGUGGGGAAUAUUGGACAAUGGGCGAAAGCCUGAUCCAGCCAUGCCGCGUGUGUGAAGAAGGUCUUCGGAUUGUAAAGCACUUUAAGUUGGGAGGAAGGGCAGUAAGUUAAUACCUUGCUGUUUUGACGUUACCAACAGAAUAAGCACCGGCUAACUUCGUGCCAGCCGCCGCCGUAAAAC